rnacentral:rRNA from 1 species
CAGUCGUACCUGCGGAUAAUCAGCUUUUUGAGUGUGAUUAUGUGGUUUAUGAGGAGUUUAACCGCCUUCAUGUAUUGCAUAUUUGUGCUCUUGGGUGUACUUGUCUGUGUGGUAGGUUAACAUCAAUUUCGGACGUUCAUAAAAUGAUUGGAGGAAUGUAGCUUUGAUCUCGUAUUGAAGUGUUAUAGCCUCUGGUAGAUGUGACGUAGUUGGGAUUGGAGGUAUU